rnacentral:misc_RNA from 1 species
AAGUCGUAACAAGGUUUCCGUAGGUGAACCUGCGGAAGGAUCAUUAACGAAUAUAAUUCAGAGGGGCUGUAGCUGGCUUCGGAAACGAGGCAUGUGCACGCUCUUCUGUCUUUCAUAACUCACCUGUGCACCUAAUGUAGGAUGCUCCUCCUUCGGGAGGGGGGACCUAUGUCUUCAUACGCCUCUUCGUGUAGAAAGUCUUAGAAUGUUUACUAUCAGAGAGUCGCGACUUCUAGGAGACGCGAAUCUCUGAGACAAAAGUUAAUUACAACUUUCAGCAAUGGAUCUCUUGGCUCUC